UACGGAGGGUGCGAGCGUUGUCCGGAAUCAUUGGGCGUAAAGGGCGCGUAGGUGGCCUGCUAAGCGUGCGGUGAAAGCUCGGGGCUCAACCCCGAGUCGGCCGUGCGAACUGGUGGGCUUGAGCACUGUAGAGGCAGGCGGAAUUCCGGGUGUAGCGGUGGAAUGCGUAGAGAUCCGGAAGAACACCGGGUGGCGAAGGCGGCCUGCUGGGCAGUAGCUGACACUGAGGCGCGACAGCGUGGGGAGCAAACAGG
rnacentral:rRNA from 1 species